rnacentral:lncRNA from 1 species
AGGCAAAUCAGGUUUUUCACAGAGAGCGUUUAUUCUGCAGCAUAACGCGGCUCCUCUUUUUACAAGGUGAGUAAACAUCCGUAAUGCACUAACGCACCUUUGGCAACACGUUUGUGUUAUGCUGGUUUUUAAUGUUUGUGGCUAAAAUCAAGUUGAUAUUUCCUCCCAAACCCAGGGCUUCGUGUCAUCGGCUUUAUGAGGUAACUGACGUCAAUCCGCAGCUGAUUAAUAGCCUGUGAUUAAAAAUAAAUUGUUUUUGAAUGGCAGACCAUGAUCAUAACAUCAAAAAUAUCCCCGGAAACCAGAAACAGAAGCAGCCGUGCCCGUGUCUGCCUGCGUCUGUGAUGAGACAUCCCUUCGUCACCCUUCCCGGCUGUACAGACUUCUAGAAAACGCCGUUUCUGUGAAAUCUAGGUUGUCAGCAUGCAAAGAAAGUUGGCAGAACACAGGGUUCCGUUGCUAAGUGAUCCUCAGCAAAUAAGAUACGUGUACAUUAUGGCAUUUGAUGACACCUUCAGGAGAGCAGAGAUUCCAGCCUGAUGGGAAACACAGUUUCCGAGAGAUGGGAGAGCGUGGGGGGUCUGUCCUGCCCGGCCGAGAACCCCAAGCCUGAGGUUGCCUGAGUCUCAGCUGGGAAAUGAAGUCAAGUUCUGUUUACUAUUCAGAGUCUCGGCUCUCUCCCUGUUGACUCUCGCCUGACCUUUGAAAGGGACAGAGUGAUGGCUCUGGUGUUUCCUUUCACUCUGUCAGAAGGCAAAUUCAGUGAUAGCCACAUGCCCAGGACUGUUGCACGUGCCUGGAAGAUGCUGACCGGAACGGUCAGCCAUGAGGAAACUUACAAAGGCGAGCAGAACUCUGCCACACUGAGAGGAAAAAACCUUUCAGAACAGGGUGCUAUUCCGAAAUUGAGACGUUUUUCUAGCAAACAACAUGAGUCUGGCAGUUGAAAAUUGCCCAGCAUUGAUGUUCAACAGGCAUUUCAUUUCAGUGGGGACUCCUUUAUCAGCUGUAAAGAAACUGCGUCAUUGAAAGCCUCCUCCAUUUCUUAAUCCUCCACGAUCAGCGCUCUGAAUAUUGUGCUGUUAACACGUAGGAAAGUCCCCAGUGUGAGGAUUUUGAAGGCUGGAUCUGUUUAACUCAGGGGCCUUGAGUUAGAAGCUCAUUGCCUGCAGAUGUUUUGCCCUAACGGGACUGGAAACCUGGCGGCUAACCACCAGCUAUAAAACGGGGUAAGUGGCCAUCACUCCAAGUUUCGGUUUCUUUACCUAUAAUAUGUAGAAAAUAAAACCACUACUUCUCAGGAUAUAAGAUGUAUAUUAGUUAAUAUGUGUGAAGUGCUUAGCACAAUGAAUAUGUUACCAUUUCUUCAUCUGUAAAACCAGGAU